CAGGAGGACCGGGCGGUCGCUGCCGGCUUCGGCCGGGGGAGGAAAGUCCGAACUCCGCAGGGCAGUGUGCCGGAUAACGUCCGGGACGCGGGCGUCAAGGCCCGUGGACGGCCAGUGCCACAGAGAACAUACCGCCAACCUGGUUUGGUCUUCGGACCGCGCCAGGGGACCGGCCCAAAGGGCAAUCGCCCGGAUGGCCAGUCCCGGUAAGGGUGAAAAGGUGCGGUAAGAGCGCACCGCUCCGACGGUAACGGCGGAGGCAUGGUAAACCCCACACGGAGCAAGACCAAAUAGGGAGGGAAGCGUGGGCCGGGAGCUGGGCCGCGCUGCGCAUCGGCCCGAUGCGUUCAGAGGGCUCCGGAAGGCCUCGAAACCUCCGGGUAGGUCGCUGAUGAGCGUCCGCGGUAACGCGGCGCCUAGAGGAAUGACCGCACACGACAGAAUUCGGCUUACAGGUCCUUUUGCCGA
rnacentral:RNase_P_RNA from 1 species